rnacentral:misc_RNA from 1 species
AUUAAAAUGGCGAGAAUAUGCGUGUUGGGAGCUGGAGUGGCUGGGCUGUCGUCUGCUGUUAAUAUACAGUCGAUAUUACCGGAAGCAGACAUUACAAUAAUCGCUGAUCAAUUCAACACAGAAACCACCAGUGAUGGUGCAGCGGGGAAUUUUGGAAUUUUAUUAGGAAGAACAAAUGCUGACAUAUGCAGAUUAAGAUGCUGGACCAGAGAUUCGUUUGAAUGGUACCAUAAAAUUUGUACAUCUGAGGAUGCAAACAUCGCAGGAAUUCACAGGACACAUGGCUACCAACUCUGGAGGACCGAGCAACCGCCUCCAUUUCACGGCAGUUUUGACUACGGAUAUCGUAUUCUUUCCAAAUCUGAACUUCUAAAGCUGCCAGGAAACUAUAAGUAUGGUUGGGAAUUAAAUACACUGAUGGUGGAAUGUCGCCGUUAUUUGCCAUGGCUCAUGAAGAGGUUCAAAGAAAAAGGAGGGAGAGUAAUUCGCAAGCAACUUAAAAAUAUUGUUGAGAUCUCAGGAUCAUAUGACGUUCUAGUCAACUGCACGGGGCUUGGUAGCAGGAAGUUGUUUGAUGACAAAGAACUGGUCCCCAUUAGAGGACAUACCAUCCGGUCAGGACAACGUAGUUCUUGGUGGUACUCGUCAGAGAGGAGAAGAAAAACUGGACAAGGAUCAGCGUUACUAUGACGACAUCAUGGCACGAUGCUGUCGUCUGGUUCCUUCACUCAAACACGCUGAAGUGGAGAAAACCUGGGUGGGACUUCGUCCUUGGCGGCCCUGCGUUCGUCUGGAGGUGGAGAUGAUCUCAGUCGAUGAUGGACGUCUUCCUGUAAGUAAAAAGGUCAUCGUCACUUGAAAAUAGUGUCAGUGAAAUGGAGAUUUUUGUCGUUAAAGUGAUGUUUAAGAUAAACAGAAAUAUUUCUAAAUAAUUGCAUGUACAUGCAUAUAGCUUCAUUAUUAUAUAUUCCUUUUUUGAGCAUUAUUUCAUACUACUAUGGACUAACAACUACUCACAAUACGAGUCGCGACGGUUCUUUGGAAUGAACCUUAAUGAACAGAUUCAUUUUGGCUUGCAUUGGUAGGUGGUUCAUAAUUAUGGUCAUGGCUCAGACGGGGUCUGCAUCAGUUGGGGGUGUGGGGUGGAUGCAGCCAACCUCGUUAAGCAGCAACUGACAGAAACAGGUUCCCAGAGGCUGGUGUCUAAGUUAUGACACACAUGCAGGAACGAAUAUCAAAAAAUUAAACAUUGUCGUGACUAAUGUUAAAAAAACCUGCUGGAUAAUAAUUAUCAAAGCAGAAUGGAUAAUUAUUAUGGUGCCAGGAUAAAAGAAGUAAAUAAAUAUAAUAAAUGAUGUCAUUAUCUAGUUAUACUUAUGUAUAUAUAAAGUAGACAUAUUGACAUGUAUUAGUAUUUGCAUGGUCAUUGAAGGUCGCUCACUACACCUUGAAAGAGCUUCUUAAAUGUGCAGAAAAUUCCUUCAUUAUGAAAGAUAACAUGAUGGAUAAAAUAUAUAUAUUUCAAAUAUGCGAAAAAAGUGCAAUUCUGAUGAAAAAUUAUCUUUCCAAAACUAAUUCUGUCAGUGUAAACAAAAGUUCUAGGCGGAUUCAAACUCAUGAUCUGCGGUUCACAAGCCCGAUUCUUUAACCACUGAGUGAUGACGAUAUACAUACAAACAAUUUAACAAAACAUUUAAAUCACCAUCAUAUGACUUAUUGUUAAAAAAGUACACUUCAAAGUGUAGUGAAAUACCUUGAACAUGUUAAACAUGAUUGACAGUAACUUGUUAAGACGGAGUUAACUUGUACAUGCAGUAAACAUGUUCACUAGCACAUUUACUGUUGUUUCAAUGAUUUCCAGGAUAAGUACAAAUUUGUGGCAUAGUGUAUACUAACAAUACACUUCUUAGAUAAGUUUUAGAACUUGUGCCCAAUCCCAUUGUAAUCAUAUUACAAUAAAAUAAAUUCAAACC